CCUACGGGAGGCAGCAGUGGGGGAUAUUGCACAAUGGGGGAAACCCUGAUGCAGCGACGCCGCGUGGGCGAAGAAGUAUUUCGGUAUGUAAAGCCCUAUCAGCAGGGAAGAAGAAAUGACGGUACCUGAGUAAGAAGCACCGGCUAAAUACGUGCCAGCGGCCGCGGUAAUACGUAUGGUGCAAGCGUUAUCCGGAUUUACUGGGGGUAAAGGGAGCGCAGGCGGCACGGCAAGCCUGAUGUGAAAGCCCGCGGCCCAACCGCGGGACUGCAUUGGGAACUACCGGGCUGGAGUGCCGGAGAGGUAGGCGGAAUUCCUAGUGUAGCGGUGAAAUUCGUAGAUAGUAGGAGGAACACCAGUGGCGAAGGCGGCCUACUGGACGGUGACUGACGCUGAGGCUCGAAAGCGUGGGAAGCAAACAGGAUUAGAUACCCUAGUAGUC
rnacentral:rRNA from 1 species